UACCAGCACCCCGAGUUGUCGGGACGAUUAUUGGGCCUAAAGCAUCCGUAGCCUGUUCUACAAGUCUUCCGUUAAAUCCACCUGCUUAACAGAUGGGCUGCGGAGGAUACUAUGGAGCUAGGAGGCGGGAGAGGCAAGCGGUACUUAGUGGGUAGGGGUAAAAUCCGUUGAUCCAUUGAAGACCACCAGUGGCGAAGGCGGCUUGCCAGAACGCACUCGACGGUGAGGGAUGAAAGCUGGGGGAGCAAACCGG
rnacentral:rRNA from 1 species